rnacentral:rRNA from 1 species
CAGCCGCCACGGUAAUACAGAGGGUGCAAGCGUUAAUCGGAAUUACUGGGCGUAAAGCGCGCGUAGGUGGUUCGUUAAGUUGGAUGUGAAAUCCCCGGGCUCAACCUGGGAACUGCAUCCAAAACUGGCGAGCUAGAGUAGGGCAGAGGGUGGUGGAAUUUCCUGUGUAGCGGUGAAAUGCGUAGAUAUAGGAAGGAACACCAGUGGCGAAGGCGACCACCUGGGCUCAUACUGACACUGAGGUGCGAAAGCGUGGGGAGCAAACAGGAUUAGAUACCCCCGUAGUCCCUGUCUCUUAUAC